UUCUCUCUUGCUCUGCAUCUACCCUCGUUCUCUCAUCUCUUUCCCUCCCCUGCAAAGCACAAAACAACCUCUCGUUCUUUACCUCUCUUGGUCUCUUUCUUUUUAAAUUUCAAUUUCUCCCAAGUAACUGCUCUCUCUUGCACCUGCACAGCUGUAUGUGACUGUCCUACUUUCUCAAGUCAAUUUUUUGCAUGAUUAGAGACUUAGCCUAUUUCAGCUACUCCUGCAGAUGCUACUUGCAAUAAAGGUGGCUGACAAAUUAUACAUAUAUACUUGGAGUAUGUGUCUGGUGCCUACAUCUAAAAACUGCUUCAAGAAUGUGACCAAUUUGGUUAAAUAGCUAUUCGUAGCUAUACUCAACAAAUCUUGUGUGAGCUUGCUUAUUUGCAUGCUAAAAAUAUUAUCCACGGGCGAGCCUUAUUGUUUUGCUAUCUCAUGGUUUUGAUAUGGAACCACAACUUACUCUAAUCACUUACAAACAUCAUCAUGCUUAUGUCAUAAAUUUUAAUGAUAAUUUAUAGGGGUGUUGAUUGAUAUAUUCUGGUCGAGUUUUUGUCCAUAA